UCAAGCGACUAAGUGCAUAUGGUGGAUGCCUUGGCGAUCACAGGCGAUGAAGGACGUAGUAGCCUGCGAAAAGCUGCGGGGAGCUGGCAAACAAGCAUUGAUCCGCAGAUAUCCGAAUGGGGAAACCCACCGCGCAAGCGGUAUCCCUGGCUGAAUACAUAGGCCAGUGGAGGCGAACCGGGUGAACUGAAACAUCUCAGUAGCUCGAGGAAAAGAAAUCAACCGAGAUUCCGAAAGUAGUGGCGAGCGAAAUCGGAAGAGCCUUUACGAUUUAGCAUUUUGCAUAGUCGAACGGAAUGGAAAGUCCGGCCGUAGCAGGUGAUAGCCCUGUAGACGAAAUGCAGAGUGUGGAACUAGGCGUAAGAGAAGUAGGGCGGGACACGUGAAAUCCUGUCUGAAGAUGGGGGGACCAUCCUCCAAGGCUAAAUACUCGUGAUCGACCGAUAGUGAACCAGUACCGUGAGGGAAAGGCGAAAAGAACCCCGGAAGGGGAGUGAAAUAGAUCCUGAAACCGUAUGCAUACAAACAGUCGGAGCCUCUUUAUGGGGUGACGGCGUACCUUUUGUAUAAUGGGUCAGCGACUUACAUUCAGUGGCGAGCUUAACCGAAUAGGGAAGGCGUAGCGAAAGCGAGUCCGAAUAGGGCGUCCAGUCGCUGGGUGUAGACCCGAAACCAGAUGAUCUACCCAUGGCCAGGUUGAAGGCACGGUAACACGUGCUGGAGGACCGAACCCACUAGUGUUGAAAAACUAGGGGAUGAGCUGUGGAUAGGGGUGAAAGGCUAAACAAAUCUGGAAAUAGCUGGUUCUCUCCGAAAACUAUUUAGGUAGUGCCUCAAGUAUUACUGCAGGGGGUAGAGCACUGUUAUGGCUAGGGGGUCAUGGCGACUUACCAAACCAUGGCAAACUCCGAAUACCUGCAAGUACAGCUUGGGAGACAGAGCACCGGGUGCUAACGUCCGGACUCAAGAGGGAAACAACCCAGACCGCCAGCUAAGGUCCCGAAUUAUCGCUAAGUGGGAAACGAAGUGGGAAGGCAUAGACAGUCAGGAGGUUGGCUUAGAAGCAGCCACCCUUUAAAGAAAGCGUAAUAGCUCACUGAUCGAGUCGUCCUGCGCGGAAGAUGUAACGGGGCUAAGCGAUAAACCGAAGCUGCGGGUGUGCACUUUUAGUGCACGCGGUAGGAGAGCGUUCUGUAAGCCUGCGAAGGUGGCUUGUAAAGGCUGCUGGAGGUAUCAGAAGUGCGAAUGCUGACAUGAGUAGCGAUAAAGGGGGUGAAAAGCCCCCUCGCCGUAAGUCCAAGGUUUCCUGCGCAACGUUCAUCGGCGCAGGGUGAGUCGGCCCCUAAGGCGAGGCAGAGAUGCGUAGCUGAUGGGAAGCUGGUUAAUAUUCCAGCACCGUCGUACAGUGCGAUGGGGGGACGGAUCGCGGAAGGUCAUCAGGGUGUUGGACGUCCCUGUUGCUGCAUUGAAGAUGGCGCUUAGGCAAAUCCGGGCGCGAGAAUCAAGGGUGUGGCACGAGCGAGCAAGUCUCGCGAAGUGAUUGGAAGUGGUUCCAAGAAAAGCCUCUAAGCUUCAGCUGUACGAGACCGUACCGCAAACCGACACAGGUGGACGGGAUGAAUAUUCCAAGGCGCUUGAGAGAACUCAGGAGAAGGAACUCGGCAAAUUGAUACCGUAACUUCGGGAGAAGGUAUACCCUGGUAGUGUGAAGCGCCUGCGCGCUGAGCAUGAAGGGGUCGCAGAGAAUCGGUGGCUGCGACUGUUUAUUAAAAACACAGCACUCUGCAAAGACGAAAGUCGACGUAUAGGGUGUGACGCCUGCCCGGUGCCGGAAGGUUAAGUGAUGGGGUGCAAGCUCUUGAUCGAAGCCCCGGUAAACGGCGGCCGUAACUAUAACGGUCCUAAGGUAGCGAAAUUCCUUGUCGGGUAAGUUCCGACCUGCACGAAUGGCGUAACGAUGGCCACACUGUCUCCUCCUGAGACUCAGCGAAGUUGAAGUGUUUGUGAUGAUGCAAUCUACCCGCGGCUAGACGGAAAGACCC
rnacentral:rRNA from 1 species